AUAGAUUGUUAAGGAGAGAAAUCGAAUCGGAGAGGAUAAGCAUCCAUGCUUAUCUUUUGCUCGAGCCCAUUUCAUUGUUUCUAGACAAGUCCAAGCCUCACAAUGGAGUGCUGAUAUGAUAAGUUAACAUAAUUGAAAAUCAAGCGAAUACAAGUGGAAUAUACAUCAGGGAGAAAUUUAGGAUAUAUGUUUAUUGGGCCACAAAACCGUCAGACAGGCCAAGUACAACCCAAGAUUAUGAGCUUUUUCAAUUAGACACACCGGAAUUUUACCACGCGACGACGCCGUCUUCAACUAGGUCUAAAAUUGUCGAUUAUAGUCUCACUCUACUAAUCUAUUGAGUUUGAAGACAGUGUAAAAUUGCACCUCUGGCUAUUGAAUGCAUCACAGGCUUACAGCAGAAGCCUUAGAGAUUUCAAAGAGGAUGGACAAAAGGAUCGGAGCGAAUGCAUUUUAUUUUUUUUCGAAACUAGAACUUAGUCUGAUGGUUUGAUUGAUAUACUCGAUCCAAAAGUCAUCUAACUGGUCGAACUAUUCGAUGGAUCAUAUUUAAGAUAGGUUAAUCAUCUUUCAUAUUUACAACAUAUUAUAUAACGAAAUCAUAAGCUUUAACCGCCCCACUAGUUUAAUUAGUGCUUAAGAUGGUUAUUCAUUAGUGCUCAAUAUAAAAGGUUUGACUUGUAGUAUAAAUAGCCUAAUAGGUGCAUAGCACGCUAAUUAUACAGCAAUUAAGCAUUCUAAUUAGUGUAUAGAGUGCUUGAGUUGCUGAUUAAGUUGCAUAAGCAGAUAGGUCAUAUCAAUGAAAUUGUGCGCAUGCAUGAUGUUAUCUUCUCAACUGGAUAUAAAGUUAUUUCCUUUGCUGUCAGUAUCAUAUGAUUUUAAUUGUA